rnacentral:lncRNA from 1 species
AUGCACACAAAUAAAUGUAUGAAGGCUAUGAUCAUAAACCAGUGCCUAUAUUUUAUUCACAGGCUUUGCACUGAGAUGCAUGCUCAUACACAGACUUUGGGACGAGACGUACCUCCUGCCACCCCCAGGGAAAACAUGAAUGUAUUUAUACACAGGCAAAGAAGAAGGCGGCUAUGCACUGACACAGCAGUGACAAAGUCUCCAGGCUGCAAGUGUUAUGCAAAAGAAGAUACUCGACACCUUCCGCCAGCGCUCCCAAAUGCAUUUCCUCAGCUAAGGAAGUCAAUGAAGAGGCAGCUAAUUGAGCUGGCGAGUACAGCAAACGCCGUCCCACCAGGAUGGAAUGCAGAUAUUGGACUGAUAGCACAGUGCCAGAGUGACACCUGCAGGAGGAGCCACGAAGCACCUCGCAGAGAGGUCCCUGAGUUUUCCGGAGUUACUUGCACCGAACACCUGUCUCGUUCUGCACUGCUCUAUUCAGAGAAAAACAGGGGGAAAAUGAUUUGGAAGCAGAAUCCAACAAAAGAUAUCCACAGAUUCUUCUGGCAAAAUUGUAAUUUUCGAAUCACAUGAUCGUUUGAAUUGGAAGGGGCCCUUAAAGGACACCUACCCCAAUUCUCCUGCAAUGAACGGGAUACUCACAGCUAGGUGGGGUGCUCAGAGCCCUUCUAGCCUGACCCUGAAUGUCUUCAGGGAUGGAGCUUCCAUCAUCUCUCUGGGCAACCUGUGCCAGUGCCUCAUCACUCUCGCUGUAAAAAAUAUCUUCCUUACAUCCAAUCUAAACCUCCUCUUUUAGCUUGAAACUAUUUUCCCUUGUCGUGUCACAACAGACCCUCCUUAAAGAGUCUGUCCUCUUCUUUCCUUGUGACCACCUUAGAUACUGACAGGCCACACACAGGUCACCCCAGAGCCUUCUCUUCUCCAGGUGGGACAGCCCCAGCAGCUCAGAAAGGAGUAAAACAUGAAAAGAUGCUACUGGUGCUACAGAGCUAAUGCUAGUUAAUUAAUUCAAAUAGAGUUGCUUGCUUUACCUGUAUUUUCCUGAAACUAGAAGCUAAACUCAGGCUAAGGGUUUAUUUUAUCCACCUUAAUUGGACAUUAUCUGGUUAUACAGAAGAUCAUAAAAGAAUUGAACUCAGCAGGGAGCUGUUUGGGCUAACGAGAAACAGCUUACAUCAUUUGUGACUUCCUCAGUUUUCUCUUUAGAAGCUCACACAGGUGAUCUGAUUUUCAGCAGAGAAGCACGGAACUUCUCAUGCACGUUUAUUGUUACUCCCAAUUAAGCUUAUCUGCCAUAGAAGUAGGGCUACAGCAUAGGAAUUAGGGCAAGCUAGGUAUUUACCCAAAAAGGUCAAUCUAGGUCAAAGCUAUCUUGCCCAGAUGGCUAAUUUCAAUCUCUUACGCAUAUAACACAAUUGUUCAAUAAGCUCAAAAUAAAUAGUCUAAGUAAUUAAUUUAAAGCUGCCCU